AUUUAAAUAGUAUAAAAAUUAUAUUUGAUUUCCAAUCAAAAGAUCUAUUAGUAGUUUAAAUA
rnacentral:tRNA from 1 species